rnacentral:lncRNA from 1 species
UUGGUGCCCGGCCAUGCCCCAUCGAUGAAGUCCUCUGGGGCACACAGACUGAGGCUGGCAGGGACGAACUUUCUAAAGCACCACAAAGUUCCUUGGCCCCCACACAACGUCUGGCCCCAAAGCCUUCAUUUCUCAGAUAAACAAAGACAAUCCAGCCCAACUUCCAACCUGGCCACCGGCCAACAGGCACUUGGGUUCAAGACUGAUUUUGUUGAAACAGCUGAAUGUGCACCAGGCAGACCCGGCCCUUCUGCUCUGGAUCCCUUCUCUCUGUCUCUGGCUGAAGACGAGAGCAUCCUGGGGUCGGGACUCUUAAUCCUCCUAACCUAAGGGAGGAUGUGCGCCUGACACAGGGCCAAGGCCCCCCGACACCCUGAUGCGCGGCCCCGGGCCCAUCUGGAAUGUUCAGAAAUGCUGCCAUCUUGUGGCGCCUGCAGGCCGGAGCAAGGCACCUUCCGGCUGAUCUUGAAGUUGAUUCCUAGAAGAUGUUGCUCCAAAUAAGCACACACAGACUGUGUGCAUUUGCAUUGCCACAUGCUAAGCCGCCUAUACCACCCACUCACUGCUACCCCAGGUGUGUUAUCUGCUUUGGGCCAGCCUGAGGUAAAACUGUCAACACUGAAAAUCAUUACCUUUGGCACCUCCCAGCUCUCCGGAAGUUAUCUGGUCUGUAGACAACAAGUCCCUGAGGGAAGUGGGUGGGGCACAGGGCAGGUAAGUUUUGACAGAAAAGGAAACUGGGCACAAAGUCUAAGGUGCUACAACAACAACAACAACAACAACAACAACAACAAAAAGAUGGGCCCUACAGGAGCCUGCUGAGCACAGAGUUACUGAGUUGAGCUGUUGGAAUCACAGUGGUAAGGGGCCCUCCCCGCUGGUGCAACAAGACACAACAGAGUGUAGUUAUUGUGCACUUGGACCCUCGGGUUAGCUAACCUGAGUUUGAGUCCCCAUUCCACCACUUGGUAGCUUUGUGACCCUGGUGAAGUUGCUUAACCUCUCUGUGCCUCCAUGUUUUCAACUAUAGAAUGAGGGAAAUAAGUUGUAAUUACCACAAAGGAUAGUUUUAAGGAUUCAGUGAUAUUUGUAAAAUAUUUAUAUAGUGUUGGUGCAUUAUAAUUGUUAAAUAAAAAUUAAAUCAAAUGUUGUGUAGAUUUGGAAGCAGGAUUAAUUUAUCCCGUACCUAUUUUAUUCAGCACCCUUGCCCAGUGCUAGGUGUCAGAGGUGCAGAAAUGGAGUUCCAAUUGUGGCAUAUAUACAGUUACUAGGGAGCAGAGGUGAAGGCAGGCUGAGGUUUAAGCAACUACCUUAUUAUUCCCCAGCUGUGAAGCCCUGGCAAAUGUCCGUUCCCCAUCCUGAGUCUGUUUCCCCAUCUUUGUGUUACUGGUGGAGGAUGUCCAGGUUCUUGUUGUUUUGAACAAAGAAUUGGACAAAAUGCACAAACGAAAGAAUGAAGCACCAAAGCAGAUUUAUUCAAAGGAAAGUACACUCCACAGAGUGUACUCUACAGAGUGGGAGCGGGCUUCAGCAAGUGGCUCAAGAGUGCUGGUUACAGAACUUUCUGGGGUUUUAAUACCCUCUAGAGGAUUCUCAUUGGCUACUUGAUUUACACCCUGUGUAAAUGAAGUGGUGGCCCGUGACCAGUCUGAUUGGUCAUGGAAGGUGAAGUUACAUCCAACGCAAAUGAAAUUACAAAGUUACAUCCUAUGCAAAUGUCUGAUUGAUUGUGGGAGGGGACCAGAGACUGAAGUGAAGUUACAAAGUUUCACCUGUAUGCAAAUGAAGACUAGGCCCGCAACAGGACUUUCCAUUUUUUCAUCUAUGACAUAGAAAGCAGGGAGUGCAAAGGGAGUAGCCUCUGAUCGUUUUGUUACUUGAACAUGGAAAGUUGGGGUUUUCCUUUCAAUUCAGUUCCAGGAAGUCAGUGCAAAUCAGCCUUAGGUUCCCUGCCCCCACACCCCAUUCUCCUGUCUCAUUUGAAAUGAGGGUAUUGGACUAUGACAGUGUUUCUUCAUCCUGGCUCCUCAUUCAAAUCACCUAGGGGGCUUUUAAAAACUAUCAACACUGGGCCUUACACUUUCCCACUCUGACACUGAUAAUAUUUAGUCAACAAAUAUUAUGUGAGAAUCCAGGCUGGGAACAGUUUCUGCUAGGCACUGGGCUCCCUCUGGGGUAGAGUUAGAGGAUGUCAUCCUGUCCUUGAAAUAGUCUCAGCCCAUGGAGAAGUGCAAGUAUGCAGGCAACUUACUGAACACAAGUGGAGACUGAGGCAUGUCAUGAAAGAAAUCUAUACCAGGACUCAGAAGGGAAGGCAGAGGCAAGAGAUGGCUCUUCCACCUUGGAGGUGGGGUUGAAACUGUUGCAGGUAGCACCUGAGUUAGCCAGAAAAAAAUAAGGGCAGAGGGGACAGUUUCUCCCAAGACUUCCUAGCCCAUCCACAUGAGAAAAUCAAAUUGAGCCUUUAUUACCACACAUUUUUAAUAAAGGAAAGAGAUAGAUAACAAAGAAGGAAGUAGAAACUCGCACAGUCUGCCAUCCCAGCAUCCAUCCUGGGUCCCAAGGCAGGGUGCUCUUCUGGUCGAGGGGUUCAGUCCCAGGAGGGUUACAGCAGAUGCUGGAUGCGGUAUUAGUGACCUCUCCCGGACCACAGUCCCAUGCCUGCUGGGACCCUAUUUCUCCAAAGCAAAAAGCCAAAGGACUGAAAGUGCACAGGUCACUUCUGCCCACAAUCAUUGGUGAGAACUAACUAAACACAGCCAGCUCCUGGCACACCAGUUAAGCAAGCGGCCUCUGCAGCUCAGCACAUACUUGGGACAUAUGCUUCCCGCUUAUAGCUCUUGCAGUUCAACAACACAAUUCAUGCUUCCUCUUUCCCCAUCUCCCAGGUGAGAACAUCACAAAUAGAACUUUCAAGAAUGCAGUCUAUGGGGAUGAGGAAAGGCUUUGUAGAGGAGGUAGCGUGAAGGGUGGUGGGGCCCAAAGGACCAAUGUAUAGGCUGUAUGCUGUUUGCCGAAUUUCUCAGCUCUUUGCCAUCCAUGCUAGGCUUGUAUUUCCUUUGUUGUCCCUGUGUAGCCUUGUGGUUAGUUCUGACCAAUGCGUGUGGGCAGACGUGACCUGUGUCACUUUUGGGCCAGAGCACUAGACCCUCCAAAGCCCUCUCAUUCUCUCUGAUACAGUGACUAUAUUGUUUGAAAUGAUAGCUGCUCUGCCACUCUAGGCCCCUCCGUGAUUACGAUGAACAGAACCCCCUGCCAACCAUGAUGAACUUGGAGGAUGGGCAAAGAGAUAAAUCAUGUUAUUUUAAGUCACUGUGUUUGGGGGCUGUUUGUUACUAUAGCAUAGCUUAGCCCAUUCUGACUGAUACAAUGGUCAUGAUUUAGAUGAAUGACUGGCUAUCAGAGAAGAAGAUGUGAUUUUGAACCAGUCACGUUUCUUCUCUGGUCUUCACUUUUCUCUUGACAUGGUGACAUCGUCCUGGAAGGCUGAGCCUACACUCAGAAAGGAGGGAAAAGAAAGAGUCGCAUGCAACUUUUAUACAAUAGGUCCACAUAGACCUCUGUGUGUCUUUUCACACUAACCUGAGGAAAUGGAAGAGCAGGUGAACUUUCCACUUGUUGAGGUUGGAGAAGGAUGACUCCUCUGCGUUCCUGGUUUCCCACUUCAUCCCCACCCCACUACGCUUUCAUGCCUGGCACCAAUUGUACAUGUUCAAGCAAUAGUUUCCAUCUCCGGAUGUUCAUCAGAAAGGUGGGUAGAGCUAUUUUUAUUUCACCUUUUUACAAACUAAAAAUUUAUUUACACAUUUUAAGACAAAUUCAGGGCUCUGCCACAGUCUGAGUUUAGAUUCACUCAAGAGUCCAUAGUCUACAAUGACAGCCUUGUACAGAGAAAACUGACACUUACCACAAUGGCCCUGCAUUGGGGUAAAGUCCUAAAAUGUCUUCAGAAAAUGAAAGAAAGAUACAAUUGUAUGUGAAAUAUCUUUAGUGAUUGAAGGAAUCUUAGAAAUCAUCUAGUUCAACACUUUCAGGUUACAAAUGAGAAGAAAUGAAACCCAGAAAGAGAAAGGAAAUGACUUACUUCCUCAGAGUGCUUGGGAGGUAGGUCCUCUGUCUUCUGGGACAGAGGGAAGAGGCUUGCCAGGUGCCCACUGACUCAGGUCCAGGACAGUGGCACACGUUUGUAUGUUGUUGUUAAACUGACUUUACCAGUCCCCAUGGGCUGGCGAGGCUUAGAGCGUUUUGGGUGAUAAAACAGGAAUACGUCCCCGUUUUAUUGAUUAAGGCACCAAAGCUCACAGAGAGUUCAAUGCCACGGCCAAAGUGUUAGGGCUAAUCAAAGGCAGAGCUGGGGCCAGGCUGUGUUCAUUUCCUACGUGGCUGUAACAAAUUACCACUGACUUAGUGGCUGAACACAACAUACAUUUCGUAUCUUCCAAGAGCCAGACCCGGGUCUCACUGGGCUAGUCAGGAUGCCAGCAGGGCUGUGUUCCUUCCAGAGGCUGCCGGCUAAAAACCAUUCCCUUGCCUUCUCAAUCUUCUAGCAGCCACCCGCAUUCCUUGGCUCAUGGCUUCCUUCUUCCAUCUUCAAAACCAACUAUGUUGCUUCUCUUGGACAGCUCUUCUGUGGUCACAUCUCUCUCUAACUGCAGUCAGGAAAGGGUCUCCCCUUUUAAGGACUCGUGUGAUUAGAGUGUGAUCACCAGAUAAUCCAGGGUAAUCUCACCAUGUUAUGGUCCUUAACCUUAAGCACACCUACAAAGUCCCUUGUGCCACGUUAAGGUAACAUAUGAACAGGUUCCAGGGAAUUAGUCAGGCACAUCUUUGAGGGCUCCCAAUUUAGAGCCCUGGGCCAUACACCAGGCUGUGCACCUGCCCUCCUUCCCUCCAUGCCCUCCCGGAUUCCCUUCAAACACAGGGAGUGACUUCACCUCGGGCUACAUCUGCUUCCAAACUGCUCAGCACGGUUCUCACCCAAACCCACCAUUUGAUUCAGAAAUUACAUGCAGGACUAAUUGUUGCUUGAGGCUCCUUAUGAAAUGGGGAUCAUUUAUAACAAAAAAAAAAAAACCCAGCACAAGGCUUCAAGGUAUGAAAUAAAUUGUUCCAGGAGGAGACAACACACACACAACCACAAACAUAUCAUUUGAGCCCAAUACUACACCUCCUACCCAGAAAAGCAAAGGCCUCCUAUUGUUAAAAGGACAGUGAAGGUACGUCUUCUUAUUUUAUUUUUUUAACCCAAUAAUAAAAUGGAGGCAGGAAGAUGAAGCAGAGAUGUUCCAGAUGUUCCAGGUGCUGAGAACAGGGCUGGUUGUGCCCUGAGAAAUCACAGCAAGCUCUCCUCUCUCUGGAUGUCAGCUUCCGCUUGUUUUGAAGGAGGAGAGAGGUUACCUGCAGACUCCUCUCGUGCAACCCUAUGAAGUGGGCAUUCUUCUUACUCACAUUUUCUGCAUGAGGACCUGGAGGCCCAGAGCUUGAGUAAGAUUCCACAGCUUUUCAGAGGCAGAGCUGGGAGACAAACCAAAGCCUGCUGAGCCGGGAAUCUCUGCUGGAACCCUCAGUGUACCUCUCUGAGAUGUUGACAGCACCCCCUACAGCUCUGAACACUUUUGGAGCAUAGCAGGUGCUUGAACAAAUCAUCAAUUGGCCAUUUUGUCAGCAGGAAGAGAAUUCAAGAAGAACACUAGUGAUUAUUCUUUUGAAGAGUUUGAAGAAAAUCCAGAUAAAAGAAGAAGAGUUUAACCAAAUUGGCUAAAGAUACAUAGGCCUUUGAAAAACAGGGAUUUUUAAAAUGAGAAAUGUUUGUCAAUUUUCCAUCAACAAACACUGGAUUAUUACCAGAUUAACAUUCAGUGAUAAUCUACAGUUGAAGAAUGCGACCCAGCACCCACCUAGUUUACCCUGGCUGUCAGGAGACCUCUCAGAUGCCUCCAUUUGGGAGAAAACUGAAUAUGUCAAAGGGCACCAGAUCUGGGAACCAAAGGGGAGAUGAGAACACUUGCGCCCUCUUUAUUUUUGUUGUCAGUAUGAAAUCAGGACUGUCUGGCUCUGUCUGAGGUUUAAAGCAAAUAAACCAAGAUCUGGUACGUGAGCCUACUGUGCUUCCAUUUAUACCCCAAUGCGUUAAGUAUAAAUAGCAUUAUUAAGAAGGUGGCUGCCAACAUUUCUCUUUACAGCACAUUCAAUCUUUAAUAAAAAGAUGGGUGGAAAUAUUUUACUGCUAUUUCAACUGUAUUUAUGUGCUUUAGGGAGCUGGAUUCUGACUACCUACUCUACUUCCGGAGACUCAUUUGGGUAUAUUUAGAAAGAUCUUAAAUUCCUGUGGUCUUGAGAGUGGUUUGGUGAAUUAAACCCCUAGAGACUAGAGACUUUUUUCUUUUGGAACAGGGUUU